rfam:Planctomycetes bacterium RBG_16_64_12 RBG_16_scaffold_30716, whole genome shotgun sequence.
CAGCGGGUGCAAUUCCCGCUCGGCAACGGUCGCUCCGGCCGGUAGCAAUCGGAGCGGUGGAGGAGGCAACGAAUCGGCUGAAGCACUUCGAUGUGAGGACUGCCUUGGGCAGUUCGGCGAGCGGGCAGGCCGGAACUGGG